CCAUGCCAAUGUGACGUGACCCACACGCCGAGAAAACCCAGCAACACUGGACAAGCCGUUGUUGGUGUCAACGCCAGUGUGCACUCACUGGGAAUAGGUGCUGAUGGGACACUGGGACAAUUUACACAGCUUCGCGGCCGCUUCUCUGCUGGACACAGCAGACCUCAACCCUCUUGCUACCCGACGAGCCGGGACCAAAGCCACAUCAGAAAAUCCCUGGCGUGGGACUUCACCAACCAUCCCACUCUAAGUGAGAGAGGUCUUGGGCCGGGAUAAAAACAACCACCAAAUCCAGGCAUGAAAGGGUGAACAGCCAUACUCGCAUGACUCACAGGUGGGGAAACUCAGAUCAAACGCUCCAGCAUGUUGCUCCCGCUCUGGAGAGAGGGAAUGGGAGAAGAAAGAGAGAGCCCGCUGUAGUGUGUGUGCCUGCUGUGGGUGUUUCUCUGGCAGUGUCUUAGCUGGUUGUUGUGAGGAGUGAGAACGAAGCAAUCAGCAAGUAUACUGCCGCAGAAACUCUUCGCACUGAGAGGCCCCGGGGUCCAACCCAUCAGAGGAAGUCCAGACAAGAGAAGCGUGGAAAAGAGGAAGCCCAAGGAUGGGAGGGAAAAGGUGCGCACACGUGUAUGAGCAAUAUAUCACGUACGCGCAUGUGCAUACGUGAGAUACAUGUGGGAAAGGUCAUUCACGGUGGAAGACGUUAUUGUGAAUAAAGUGGUUGGAGCUCUGAGAGAGUGGCCUCUUGUUUACAGUUCAUACAAUCAUAUAAAACAAGAUCAAACUUUUGUGACAUGACUUGUGUCGUUACAGUCGUCUGCUGCCAUCUUGUGGCCAAAAGGCAGUUGUACGUGUGUCAAACACUGCAGCAAUUUUAGGUUCGUUCAUAAAGCCUACUUAGGCCUUCAGUCAGACGACUUGGUCUGCCAGAUCCCCACCCCCCUCCGCCAUGUGACUCGUAAUCAUUGAUUCAUCAAUAAUCACACUAAUUGAUUACGACAAAUAAUUGUGUCUACA